GACGAACGCUGGCGGCGUGCUUAAUACAUGCAAGUCGAACGAUGAAGCCGGAGCUUGCUCUGGUGAAUUAGUGGCGAACGGGUGAGUAACACGUGAGUAACCUGCCCUUGACUCUGGGAUAACUGCGGGAAACUGUAGCUAAUACCGGAUACGACCCUCGGAGGCAUCUCCUGGGGGUGGCAAGAAUUUCGGUCAAGGAUGGACUCGCGGCCUAUCAGCUAGUUGGUGAGGUAAAGGCUCACCAAGGCGACGACGGGUAGCCGGCCUGAGAGGGUGACCGGCCACACUGGGACUGAGACACGGCCCAGACUCCUACGGGAGGCAGCAGUGGGGAAUAUUGCACAAUGGGCGCAAGCCUGAUGCAGCAACGCCGCGUGAGGGAUGACGGCCUUCGGGUUGUAAACCUCUUUUAGCAGGGAAGAAGCGAAAGUGACGGUACCUGCAGAAAAAGCACCGGCUAACUACGUGCCAGCCGCCGCAGUAA
rnacentral:rRNA from 1 species